AAAAGCAGGGGAUCGCAAGACCUCGCGCUCAUGGAGCGGCCGAUGUCGGAUUAGCUAGUUGGCGGGGUAACGGCCCACCAAGGCGACGAUCCGUAGCUGGUCUGAGAGGAUGAUCAGCCACACUGGGACUGAGACACGGCCCAGACUCCUACGGGAGGCAGCAGUGGGGAAUUUUGGACAAUGGGGGCAACCCUGAUCCAGCCAUGCCGCGUGAGUGAAGAAGGCCUUCGGGUUGUAAAGCUCUUUCGGCCGGAACGAAAUCGGGCGCGUGAAUAACGCGCCUGGAUGACGGUACUGGAAGAAGAAGCACCGGCUAACUACGUGCCAGCAGCCGCGGUAAUACGUAGGGUGCGAGCGUUAAUCGGAAUUACUGGGCGUAAAGCGUGCGUAGGCGGUUUCGCAAGUCAGGUGUGAAAUCCCCGGGCUUAACCUGGGAACUGCGUUUGAAACUACAAAGC
rnacentral:rRNA from 1 species